AAUGCAAUUCUAAAGACAAAGCAUUGGCUUCCUUCUAAGCCAUGGAAUAUCAGUUAUACAGAAAUACAACUUUGGGAAACAGUCUUCAAGAGAGCCUUGAUGAGCUCAUACAGUCUCAACAGAUCACCCCCCAACUUGCCCUUCGAGUUCUACUUCAGUUUGAUACAGUUAAAAAUUCAGCAUUGGCUAGAGGGUCAGGAACAGAGUCAAUUUCAGGGGCUCUCUAAAUACAGACAGAUUCUGCGAUAAUGUCUGGACUUUUGUAUUGAAUGAUGUUGAAUUCAGAGAAGUGACAGAGCUUAUUAAAGUGGACAAAGUGAAAAUUGUAGCCUGUGAUGGUAAAAAUACUGGCUCCAAUACUACCGAAUGAAUAGAG